CCUCCACUCCCUCCUCCUCUCCUGCAUCUGGGCAUGGGAGGGGCAAUAGACAGAGAUUUGCCCUACAUAGGGGAGGUCACUGGGGUUUCUCUGACAUCUUCAAAGCCUCUCUGUGCUGAUCACCCAGCAUGUUCCUGAAAGUGAGAGAUAAAGGUGGACAGGAAUGUCUCUAACUGCAUGAUGUAUCCUCCUCCUGCAGCACUGAGGCCUGUGCCCUUCCUUGUGCUGACGCUCAGCAAAUUGUGUUUUGUGCUGAGGCUGGUGGAGACCAACCAGAUAAAGUAGGUGCUGUGUGGAGUUGUGGGAGGCUUUGCCCGGGGUGCCAACGUGAAAUUCCAGAUCAGGGAUAAGAGCCCAUUUCCCAGCUGUCGUGCAGCUGACUAUUGUUUCCACGUGUUCCCUUUCUUUAACCUCAUGAGCAGCAGCUGGCUGAGCAGCAAGGACCGGGAGCUGCAGCAGGAUGCGGUCAAGGCGCUGGGGCCUGCAAUGGGCCUCCUUCUCCACCAUGAGAGGCAUCCUGACACUGUUUUUGAGAGGCUCCUGUCUCCCGCAGCAGUACAAGGGAGGGCUUGACAAUCUUCAUGUCACCAUGAGUCUGAGCCAGAUCUUGAAGGUGGCCUAUGAUUUUCAGGUCCCCCUCCCCGAUGGGAAACUCAAGAGUAUCUGAGAUCUGGGAACAUAGCAGCCUGCUGGUCAGGACAAGAACAGUCCAGAAACACACGCAUCCCUAGGAAGGACCAAG